rnacentral:rRNA from 1 species
UAGGGAAUCUUCGGCAAUGGACGAAAGUCUGACCGAGCAACGCCGCGUGAGUGAAGAAGGUUUUCGGAUCGUAAAACUCCGUUGUUAGAGAAGAACAAGGACGUUAGUAACUGAACGUCCCCUGACGGUAUCUAACCAGAAAGCCACGGCUAACUACGUGCCAGCAGCCGCGGUAAUACGUAGGUGGCAAGCGUUGUCCGGAUUUAUUGGGCGUAAAGCGAGCGCAGGCGGUUUCUUAAGUCUGAUGUGAAAGCCCCCGGCUCAACCGGGGAGGGUCAUUGGAAACUGGGAGACUUGAGUGCAGAAGAGGAGAGUGGAAUUCCAUGUGUAGCGGUGAAAUGCGUAGAUAUAUGGAGGAACACCAGUGGCGAAGGCGGCUCUCUGGUCUGUAACUGACGCUGAGGCUCGAAAGCGUGGGGAGCAAACAGG